AAAGCACAGCGAUAAGCCGAGUUCUGUCGUGAGUGGUCAUUUAUCUAAAUUUGCAUUUACAUACAAAUUUUAGCGAAUGGUUUAAUUAUAAGACUAAAACCGCCCAUUCUUACUACGAGUUGGGUUUAUCUAGCCACUCUAGUUUCCAAGAGUGCUGGUGGGCUCUUACCCCACCGUUUCACCUUUACCUUUGAAAUAAGGUAGUUUGCUUUCUGUUACACUUUCCCUUAGGUCACCCUAGCCAUCCGUUAGAUGGAACUCUGUCUUAUUGUAGCUCGGACUUUCCUCUUUUUCAAGCGACCACUUACUGUGCUUU
rnacentral:RNase_P_RNA from 1 species